rnacentral:rRNA from 1 species
CCUACGGGAGGCAGCAGUGGGGAAUAUUGGGCAAUGGGCGCAAGCCUUACCCAGCAAUACCGCGUGAGUGAAGAAGGUCUUCGGAUUGUAAAGCUCUUUGAUCAGGGACGAACAGAUGACGGUACCUGAAGAACAAGCCCCGGCUCACUACGUGCCAGCAGACGCGGUAAAACGUAAGGGGCGAGCGUUGUCCGGAAUGACUGGGCGUAAAGGGCGCGUAGCCGGCAUAAUAAGUUAGAAGUGUAAUACCCAGGGCUUAAACCGGGUGCUGCUUCUAAGACUGUUGAGCUUGAGUGCGGGAGAGGUUAAUGGAACUCCUAGUGUAGCGGUGGAAUGCGUAGAUAUUAGGAGGAACACCAGAGGCGAAGGCGAUUAACUGGACCGUAACUGACGCUGAGGCACGAAAGUGUGGGUAGCAAACAGGAUUAGAUACCCUUGUAGUC